rnacentral:rRNA from 1 species
AACGAACGCUGGCGGCAUGCCUAACACAUGCAAGUCGAACGAUGCUUUCGGGCAUACUGGCGCACUGGUGCGUAACGCGUUGGAAUCUGCCCUUGGGUUCGGCUUAACAUGGAGAAUUUGCUGCUAAUACCGGCUCUUAUCUUCCGUCCAAAGAUUUAUCGCCCAUGGAUGAGCCUGCGUCGGAUUAGCUGGUUGUUAGGCUAAUUGCGUACCACUGCUACGAUCCUUAGCUGGUAAGAGAGGAUGAUCAGCGACACUGGGACUGAGACACGGUCCAGAAUACUACGGGAGGCAGCAGAGGGGAAUAUAGGAAAACGGGCGGAAGGAUGAACCAGCAAGGACGCGUGAGUGAUGAAGGUCGUAGGGUAGUAAAGCUAGUUUAUACGGGAUGAUAAUGACAGUACCAGGAGAAUAAGCUCCGGCUAACUCCGUG